rnacentral:rRNA from 1 species
UACGGAGGGUGCAAGCGUUAAUCGGAAUUACUGGGCGUAAAGCGUGCGCAGGCGGUUUUGUAAGUCUGACGUGAAAUCCCCGGGCUCAACCUGGGAAUUGCAUUGGAGACUGCAAGGCUAGAAUCUGGCAGAGGGGGGUAGAAUUCCACGUGUAGCAGUGAAAUGCGUAGAGAUGUGGAGGAACACCGAUGGCGAAGGCAGCCCCCUGGGUCAAGAUUGACGCUCAUGCACGAAAGCGUGGGGAGCAAACAGG